rnacentral:rRNA from 1 species
CAUCCUCCAAGGCUAAAUACUCCUGACUGACCGAUAGUGAACCAGUACCGUGAGGGAAAGGCGAAAAGAACCCCGGCGAGGGGAGUGAAAAAGAACCUGAAACCGUGUACGUACAAGCAGUGGGAGCCCCACCACUAAGCCAGUGGUGAACUCCACAUCCGCAUCCUUUGCUGAGGAUACGGUUAACGGAGCGAAAGCGACGUUCAACCGCAAAACAAGCAGAGGGGGCUUAGUGGUGGGGUGACUGCGUACCUUUUGUAUAAUGGGUCAGCGACUUAUAUUCUGUAGCAAGGUUAACCGUAUAGGGGAGCCGGAGGGAAACCGAGUCUUAAUUGGGCGUUAAGUUGCAGGGUAUAGACCCGAAACCCGGUGAUCUAGCCAUGGGCAGGUUGAAGGUUGGGUAACACUAACUGGAGGACCGAACCGACUAAUGUUGAAAAAUUAGCGGAUGACCUGUGGCUGGGGGUGAAAGGCCAAUCAAACCGGGAGAUAGCUGGUUCUCCCCGAAAGCUAUUUAGGUAGCGCCUCGUGAAUUCAUCUCCGGGGGUAGAGCACUGUUUCGGCUAGGGGGCCAUCCCGGCUUACCAACCCGAUGCAAACUGCGAAUACCGGAGAAUGUUAUCACGGGAGACACACGGCGGGUGCUAACGUCCGUCGUGAAGAGGGAAACAACCCAGACCGCCAGCUAAGGUCCCAAAGUCAUGGUUAAGUGGGAAACGAUGUGGGAAGGCCCAGACAGCCAGGAUGUUGGCUUAGAAGCAGCCAUCAUUUAAAGAAAGCGUAAUAGCUCACUGGUCGAGUCGGCCUGCGCGGAAGAUGUAACGGGGCUAAACCAUGCACCGAAGCUGCGGCAGCGACGCUGAUGCGUUGUUGGGUAGGGGAGCGUUCUGUAAGCCUGCGAAGGUGACCUGUGAGGGUUGCUGGAGGUAUCAGAAGUGCGAAUGCUGACAUAAGUAACGAUAAAGCGGGUGAAAAGCCCGCUCGCCGGAAGACCAAGGGUUCCUGUCCAACGUUAAUCGGGGCAGGGUGAGUCGACCCCUAAGGC